CGAUGAGCACUGUUCUUUGGUUAAAACAUGAACCAUGAAUGAAAUGUGCUUGUGGCGGGGUCUCCGUGCUUCAUUUCCUGCUCCGGCUGUCCCAUUCCCAGGUCGCUCUCUGCGGACGCGGGGCCAAUCGUGGAAAACAGACCCAGGGCUCCUGACCUGCAGUCUCAGUGUGGAUCGGUCAUAUUCGAACACCCGGAUGCCUGGAUUGUUGGCCCCGUUGACCACUCCAGGAGAGAGACAGUGAGACAGAGAGGCUGGCGAGAAGGGGGAGGUGGACUGGCAGCUGCCCUCCAGAGUGAGUACCUGCAUCAUCAUAGAACAUCCGAAAGCUGUCAGUGUGGUGGUGCCCGAAGAACUGCCCUGCAAUGACCCGGUAGUGCCUCUGGACCACCUUCAGACCUCAGAAGGAGAAGCAGUCCCUGACCCCAUUCCCAGCAGAAAGUUUCGUCACCAGAAAGGAAGCACCAGAUGAGGGGGAGGAGGAAGCUAGAAGAUCUAAAUAAUCUUCAGAUCCAUCAUCAGCCAUCAACUCCAGAUCCAUCUGACUGUUUCCUGAUCCACCUGCUGUUCCCGAGCAAGGGAAGGAGUUUCCUUCACCCUGGGAGGCCUCAGAAGUUUAUUCAUUUGGGAUUCAAAUAUUUACGGAGCACCUUGUUGGUGCCAACGUGUAGACCUGGGAGCUGGGUACCCAACCCCAGCCCAGGGGCCUUGCAGUGUAGUAGGGCAACAGGCAUUGAGUAAUGCAACAUGCGAAGGCCAACACAAAAAGGGAAGAGCCUAUGUGCAACACAGAAAAGACCAGUAGUGACUGUACAGUAUCCUACUACGCUGAUGGACAGUGACUGUAAUGGGGUUUGUGGGGGGGACUUGGUGAAAGGGGGAGCCUAGUAAACAUAAUGUUCCUCAUGUAAUUGUAGAUCAAUGAUACCAAAAUAAAAAAAAUUUUAAAAAAAAGGGAAGAGCCUAGUUAUGGGCAUGGAUAGCAGGGUGUGGUUGUGGCGGUCGGGGGCCAGGGGAGGCCUCCCUGUGGAAGUGAACUGCAAAUGAGCCCAGGAGGAGGAGGGGAGCCCCUCAGACUCAUUUCCUUCCUGUGAGCAGCCUCAUUCUUGAUUUUGUUUUUACAUCUGUGUCUGGCAUGUAAUAGUUGCUCAAUAAAUAUCUGACUAUUAACAAAAACUCCUCUGAGCUCCAGGCAGGGCCUCGCCCUUAUAUGAAUACUUGGCUU